UACGGGGGGGGCAAGCGUUGUUCGGAAUUACUGGGCGUAAAGGGCUCGUAGGUGGCCAACUAAGUCAGGGGUGAAAUCCUGGAGCUCAACUCCAGAACUGCCUUUGAUACUGGAGAGCUUGAGUCCGGAAGAGGUGAGUGGAACUCCGAGUGUAGAGGUGAAAUUCGUAGAUAUUCGGAAGAACACCAGUGGCGAAGGCGGCUCACUGGUCCGGUACUGACGCUGAGGUGCGAAAGCGUGGGGAGCAAACAGG
rnacentral:rRNA from 1 species